rnacentral:lncRNA from 1 species
UAUGGGUAUCCAUACGAAAUUUUGAUCUAAUCAAAAACUUUUUAAUCUCACUGGAAUGCUAGCUCCUUUGUAGAGAUUGCAUCUUAAUAGUUGAAAAAAAAAUUUUUUCUCUAAAGAUACUCUUAGAGGAGAAGAAAAAAAUAGGAGGAUGAUGAUCUCUACACUAGAGAUCAUGAGAAGAACACUUUCUUUUCUUUUCUUUUUAAAAUCCAUGCACCAAAUCUCUACACUAGAGAUGUAAGAAUUUAU